rnacentral:rRNA from 1 species
UCCUACGGGGGGCAGCAGUGGGGGAUAUUGCCCAAUGGGGGAAACCCUGAUGCAGCGACGCCGCGUGGGCGAAGAAGUAUUUCGGUAUGUAAAGCCCUAUCAGCAGGGAAGAAGAAAUGACGGUACCUGAGUAAGAAGCACCGGCUAAAUACGUGCCAGCAGCCGCGGUAAUACGUAGGGGGCAAGCGUUAUCCGGAUUUACUGGGUGUAAAGGGGGCGCAGACGGCAGCGCAAGCCAGGAGUGAAAGCCCGGGGCCCAACCCCGGGACUGCUCUUGGAACUGCGCGGCUGGAGUGCAGGAGGGG